rnacentral:lncRNA from 1 species
CGUGCCGUUCAACCCUUUUAGCCAUGAGUCGACUCAUGGGGUCGACUCAAAAAUAGAAACCUGAUUUUCUUACAAAAUACACUUUCAAAAAUAUUAAAAUUGCCUCCAAUAGAUUACACAUCUUUUGUUCUUGCUCUUGAGGCUUCCGAAUCAGGUCUUGAUAAAAUUAUGAUUUUGUCCCUAAAAUGCAAUAAGUCUUUUUUCAAACCAAAAUCAUUAGUAACCCCC